rnacentral:rRNA from 1 species
AUUGAACGCUGGCGGCAUGCCUUACACAUGCAAGUCGAACGGUAACAGGUCUUCGGAUGCUGACGAGUGGCGAACGGGUGAGUAAUACAUCGGAACGUGCCUAGUAGUGGGGGAUAACUACUCGAAAGAGUGGCUAAUACCGCAUGAGAUCUACGGAUGGAAGCAGGGGAUCGCAAGACCUUGUGCUACUAGAGCGGCCGAUGGCAGAUUAGGUAGUUGGUGGGAUAAAAGCUUACCAAGCCGACGAUCUGUAGCUGGUCUGAGAGGACGAUCAGCAACACGGGGACUGAGACACGGCCCGGACUCCUCCGGGAGGCAGCAGUGGGGAAUUUUGGACAAUGGGCGCAAGCCUGAUCCAGCAAUGCCGCGUGCAGGAUGAAGGCCUUCGGGUUGUAAACUGCUUUUGUACGGAACGAAAAGCCCUGGGUUAAUACCCUGGGGUCAUGACGGUACCGUAAGAAUAAGCACCGGCUAACUACGUGCCAGCCGCCGCAGUAACAC